GGGAAAUAUGACCCUGGUCACCAAACCAACUCAGAGACAGCAAGUGCUUUGGCAAAGGAAAGGGCUGGCACAGAGAACAGCACGAUGGAGAUGAGCGGCACCCGCGGGCGGUCGCUGAAGACCUCGGCCUGCUGCACCAGCGCCUCGCGCACGCUGUGGAAGUCGCUGAGGACCACCACCAGGUAGUGGCCGAUAAAGAAGCUGAAGAUGCUGCCGUACACGCGGGCUAGGUCGAUUUCUCAUUGUCUUCACCAAUCUUCUGAACCCGUGAAUACUUUUUGCAUGAUGAUUUGAAGCAGCCAGGAGGCCAAGACAGCGGCCAGGAGAAGCAGCAAGGAAUUGAGCCUUGUACAUUUUUCUCAAAAAAAUAAAAGAUGGGGAACCACCAUGCUCGAGAUAAGAAAUUAGUCUGUGAAGAGACCUUCAAGUUCUGUAAAUGAGCCCCCAGCUAUCAAUACAUUACAGCAGGAUGAGAAAGACCCAGGCCUUUGACAUCCCAGGCUUUGACAGGCCCAGGCUUGACAGUGUCUUGGCACAAUGUUGUGGGAAGAAUAAGCACAAUGAAGAGGUGCCUCAGGAAGGUAUUUUCAACAACAAACCUUCAACACCAUGAACUGCUACUUCUAACGGAGGUCCGAAGCACUAACACAGCCAUUUCCUGUCUCUCUUUAGCAGCCUUGCCUAAUCCACUUACAGCAUCUUGCCAAAUCAUCAUCCAAAUUCCCUUCAACUUUACUCUUCCAUAUGUGCUCCUAGUCUUAUGUUCAUGUGGGAAAGAAGCUUGUGAUUUUGAAACUCCAUUUCACAGUGGAUGUACAGAUGGUCUUUAUAAGGUAGCUACUCGGUUCUAGAACACAGAAUGUGGAACAGAAGAAAAUCCAAUUAGUAACCUUUUUUCUUUUUUUUUUCCAAGAGGACACACUCAGCCACCCACCUCAUGGGACUGCUAUGAGAAUGACUGAAAUAAUUAAUUGUGAAGAGCUUUGUGCCCCUGGGAGUAAGAACACUAGGACACAACUGGAGAAACUGGUUAUUUUACCAAGGCUUAGGCUGGAAUGGUGUGCUUUCCUUUAAAGAAUCAAACUUGACUUAUGGAGCCAAUAAAAGCCUCUUGGGAAAACUGGCCUCAUACAUGUCUACACAGUCCCUGUAUAGGGUUCCUGACCUGUAUUUGGCUCUAGGAAGAGGGACGCAGAUAUCUCAACCCAACCCUUCACUGAAGACAUGAGAUAUAUUAUAAAACAAGAAAUUUAGUUCCAAUGUAUCCAAGCUGUCCCUUCGGAAGGUGAUCAGAAGAGAGAAAUGAGUUUGGAAAAGAAAAGGAAUAGCUGAACAAGGGCAAGUGAUUUCAGAAAUCUAAACCCUGAGAAAACAUGGGUAACAGAGAAGAACUUCUGCUGUGAUAUCUACUUCUGCAGGGAGUAGAGAAACAGAAGUAGAAGGUAAAUCUGAGAUGAGCACAGAGAUAUCAAGUGAAUUGCCCAAGGUCACCAACUAGUAAGCAGUGAAGCCAGCAUUUGGUACUUUGGUAGCUCUGACUCGGCAGGCUGUUCUACCCCUCUUUGGGAAAAGCGUCGCAAAUGAGCACACAGCUUCAGGGUGAAUUCUUACAGCAAAGAAAAGGAAAUGGGAUAGCACAGCCCUGCUAUGUCAGAAGAACCAACAUCAGACAUCAGUGGAUUCUCAUAGCAACAUCUCCCCACUGCUUCCUCUUGACACACAGGAAAAAUGUUCCAGAAUCAACUGGGAAGACUGGCAUUUCAUUUAUAAAUGUAAUUCCCAGGCUGGGUCGGUAACUCCUCCAAUCUUUCCAAUUACGUUCAUUUCAGAUAUAGGGGACAGAAAUGCUCCAGAAAAGAACUAGACCAUAUUUGGAGGAGGAGAGAAGGAGUACACCCUUCAUCUGUGUUGUGAACUAUGUGGAGGAGAGUAGUAUGUUACAGUACAGAGAGUCUUGGGGAGGCCAUGUGCAUGUGUCUUCAGGCCUCCACCUCCUUUCAACUUGAGGAGCUCUGCUUUUCCUUCUAUUUUAGAGGGGUUACCCAAAAUCUCAUCUGAAAUCUGGGUUCCAUGGCUAAAGAAGUUUAAAAACUGAUAGUGCCAUGACAAAGCCCUGGAUCAGAAGUCACAAAACAAGAAUCCAAGAAUCUCUCUCUCAGUUUGGCCACAAACAAGUCAUGAUUAAUCCUGGGCCAACUACUUCCUUGGGAAACACCACCAUCUCUCAGUCAGCAAAGACAGAACCAGAGAGAGAGACUCUGCAAGUUCAGGAAGAAAGGUUCCAACUACUUUUACUCUCCGUUGCAUCUCCUAAUGUCACCACUUCCUCAGAGCAGGGUUUAGUCACUACUACAAAACAUUGCUCAGGAACUGCAGAGCCACUAGCCUGGCAUGUGGUGACACAUUCCCAACACAAUUCUCUAACAUUCUGAUUUCCCUUGCAAAGAUAAAUUCAAGCGAACUUAGAACUCUUAAAGAUCAGAUUGAGAUUGAAUGCCAUUGGCUUUCUCCCCAUACCUAUGCUCCUACACAUCUCUUCAGCCCAGCACAGGGUUUUAAAAGCUCACUGCUUAACACAGGGCUAUCUCCUCUGCUGGUUAUGAGCUGCAAGGAUAGAGUCCAUGUCCUGUUUGUGUUGGUGUUCCUGGCCACUAGCCAAGAACCUGCAGCCCAGCCCUAGAAUAGCAGUUGAAUGAAUGUGGCAGCCCACACACUCAAAGACACCAGAAUUAUCUUACCCUUUCCCAGAGAGCUUCAGGUACCUUUCUUUUCCUAAAUGAGUCACUAAUGUGUCUGUAUAAAUAUGGUUUCCAUAUAUGUCACAGAGCCCAAACAUUUCAUCUGACUUACUGUGGUUUACUUUUUGUGACUGCAUUUUUAUUAUAUCUUAUAUAAAAAGGGGGAUAUAACAGAAGGAAAAAACAGUAAAGCAAAAACCCAUAUCUAGCUUCAGAGCAUUACAUAUCCACUGGAAGCCCUAAAGCAAUGCUCCAUGAUCGCAUGGCCUUUCCGCUGCAUAACCCUGAGGUCAUUUUUUGAUACAUAAUUCUCAAAGUAUGCAGUGCUGAAAGACCUUGAAGAGCUUUCUUAAAUGAUGUUAUGGUUAAAAUUUCUAUGAUUGCAGUCCUUGAAAUCAUAAAAGAAUAAAUACAUCCUUG
rnacentral:lncRNA from 1 species